rnacentral:rRNA from 1 species
AGUGAACGCUGGCGGUAGGCCUAACACAUGCAAGUCGAACGGCAGCACAGUAAGAGCUUGCUCUUACGGGUGGCGAGUGGCGGACGGGUGAGGAAUACAUCGGAAUCUACUUUUUCGUGGGGGAUAACGUAGGGAAACUUACGCUAAUACCGCAUACGACCUACGGGUGAAAGCAGGGGAUCUUCGGACCUUGCGCGAUUGAAUGAGCCGAUGUCGGAUUAGCUAGUUGGCGGGGUAAAGGCCCACCAAGGCGACGAUCCGUAGCUGGUCUGAGAGGAUGAUCAGCCACACUGGAACUGAGACACGGUCCAGACUCCUACGGGAGGCAGCAGUGGGGAAUAUUGGACAAUGGGCGCAAGCCUGAUCCAGCCAUACCGCGUGGGUGAAGAAGGCCUUCGGGUUGUAAAGCCCUUUUGUUGGGAAAGAAAAGCAGCAGGUUAAGACCCCGCUGUUCUGACGGUACCCAAAGAAUAAGCACUGGCUAACUUCGU